rnacentral:lncRNA from 1 species
GUGAAGACAGGAUUCAGGGCAGAAUGAACCAAUGUUACAGUACCAUGGAAAAUCUGGUCUCAGUUCUUCCUCCACCCUUCUCUGAGACCAUGGAGGGCAGUUUGUUGGAUGUGGUGACACCGAAUCCAUCUGUGAGGACUGAUCAAUGAUUCCUAUUUCAGAGACAGGAAAGCCAUCAGAGAUGCAAUGAUAUAGAGUGAAGUCCACUCACUCAGCCAUAAAGAAAGUCUACUUUGAUCCCUGAAGCCAGCACAGGGCUUUGCCAUAGGUGGGCAGGCACUGGGAAGGAGCUCUCACCUGUGAUUAAGCUGGAGAUGAUG